GGGCAAGUGGCGGAAUGGCAGACGCGCUGCGCUUAGGACGCAGUUGGAUUUAUCCAGUGAGGGUUCAAGUCCCUCCUUGCCCA
rnacentral:tRNA from 1 species